rnacentral:tRNA from 1 species
GGCUAUGGAUGACUGCCUCUGGAGCAGUAUACCCAGGUUCGAAUCCUGGCAGGGCUA